UGCUGCAUGGUGCUGAGUUACCAGCUGGGCUUAAACCAUGACAUUGACACAGGAAAAAAGUCACAGUUCCCUCGCAGCACCAGAAAGGGAAGUCACCAUAGCUGGAAUGGCAAACAGCACUGGGGGAAAUCACCUCUGUGUUUUAACCUCCUCCUUCUCCAUGUCCUACCAUGGCAGUCCCGCAAGCCCUGAGGUCACAGGGCCAAUGUUAAACUACUUCUUCAUCAUCAUCAUCAUCAUUAUUAUCAAUAUUUUACCUGCUCUGUAGCUUUGCUGAAGCUGAGGGGGAUUUGAAAGCUGCAGUAGGAAAAAGAAAAUGAAACAUGAUCUGAGAGUACCCUCAUAGAAUGCAGUUGGCAAAGUCUUGGCAAGUCUGAAGACCAAUGUGCACAAAUCAAUCUACGUGAAAGUUUUGCUUGGAUCACUGUUGCAGUGUAUUUUCCCCUCACCACCCCUUAAACUAUCCUGAUCUAGAAUAUUAACAUUCCACUUCUAACCUCUGAGUACACAUUGUCCCCUGAUUCAUCCUAGCUUUGAAGAGUUUUUUCCAUAAACAGAAUUAAAACAAAAUUCACAUAUUUCAAGUUUAGUUUGAUGUUCACGUAAAAACGGACUUUUCCUGGAAAUGACAAAUUCCCAAAUGCAAGGACUGAUUUUGCUACACAUAACUUCCCAGCGAGGAAAUACAUACAUAAAAAUACUUUGACUUUGUCGUUAUGAUCUUGGAAUCUUUCUGUUUUCGGGAGCACAGUUAAUGGACUUCCCUUAAUGCUUUUUGGGAGAUGUGCAGAAGGCAGGAUGAUUAGAGCCAGUGUUGUAACAAUAGUCCCAACAAAAGUUGUAUUACCUCAUCACAACUUCCUCUGAAUCAUAACGUUAACCAGUUCAGUUGGCUUGGAACAGAUACAAAUAUUCUGUUAAUUGUCAGCACUUGUCACACAUCUGUUACCUACACUGAUGGGUGUAGUGACUGUUGCCAGGACCUGUAGGUAAGCUUUGUUGUAUAAGCAGCCAAAACAAAUGCUCAUCUUCCUCUUCUGCAGCUGCACCUUUGCCAUGUGCUCCUCUCCAAACCCUCUGUGCAGCUCCUGUUCCAUGUAGAGUGCAAAUCUCCCUGCUCAUUCUGUCUCUGCAUUUAUUUUAAUCCUUUCCUGCACUCGUCUCCUCACAGAUCUUUUCUGAGGUCUCAAAGCUUGCUACUGCUGCUCUAGCCACGCACCGUGUGCCUUCCAUCACACUCUUUCUCCUCUCACACAGCCAUCAUCACC
rnacentral:lncRNA from 14 species